rfam:Richelia intracellularis HH01, WGS project CAIY01000000 data, contig: 00020
CCAGGGUUGGCCGAGCGGAUGAGGCAGCGAACUCAUAAUUCGCCCUAGGCAGGUUCAACUCCUGCACCCUGGA